GCAUAUCAAUAAGCGGAGGAAAAGAAACUAACAAGGAUUCCCCUAGUAACUGCGAGUGAAGCGGGAAAAGCUCAAAUUUAAAAUCUGGCGGUCUUUGGCCGUCCGAGUUGUAGUCUGGAGAAGCGUCUUCCGCGCUGGACCGUGUAUAAGUCUCUUGGAACAGAGCGUCAUAGAGGGUGAGAAUCCCGUCUUUGACACGGACUACCGGUGCUUUGUGAUGCGCUCUCAAAGAGUCGAGUUGUUUGGGAAUGCAGCUCAAAAUGGGUGGUGAAUUCCAUCUAAAGCUAAAUAUUGGCGAGAGACCGAUAGCGAACAAGUACCGUGAGGGAAAGAUGAAAAGCACUUUGGAAAGAGAGUUAAACAGUACGUGAAAUUGCUGAAAGGGAAACGCUUGAAGUCAGUCGCGUUGUCCGGGACUCAGCCUUGCUUCGGCUUGGUGCACUUUCCGGAUGACGGGCCAGCAUCGAUUUUGACCGCCGGAAAAGGGCUGGAGGAAUGUGGCACCUUCGGGUGUGUUAUAGCCUCCAGUCGCAUACGGCGGUUGGGAUCGAGGAACGCAGCACGCCUUAUGGCGGGGGGUUUACCCUACCUUCGUGCUUAGGAUGCUGGCAUAAUGGCUUUAAACGACCCGUCUUGAAACACGGACC
rnacentral:rRNA from 1 species